rnacentral:rRNA from 1 species
UACGGAGGGUGCAAGCGUUAUCCGGAUUCACUGGGUUUAAAGGGUGCGUAGGCGGGCAUGUAAGUCCGUGGUGAAAUCUCCGAGCUUAACUCGGAAACUGCCAUGGAUACUAUGUGUCUUGAAUGUUGUGGAGGUGAGCGGAAUAUGUCAUGUAGCGGUGAAAUGCUUAGAUAUGACAUAGAACACCAAUUGCGAAGGCAGCUCACUAGACAAAUAUUGACGCUGAGGCACGAAAGCGUGGGGAUCAAACAGG